UUGAUUUAUUAAUCUUUUGCUUGUUACAGCUCUGACUAUAGUAUUAAUCAAGGGUUUUAAAGGUGUCUGCCGGCAGGUGCAUAAGCACCCACCGAGGCAACAACAAAGGUAAUGUAAACAAAGGGUGGAGAUUUUUAGAGGCAUAUAGCCAAACUAAAAUACUCUUGUAAUGAUCCUUCCGCAGGUUCACCUACGGAAA
rnacentral:misc_RNA from 1 species